rnacentral:rRNA from 1 species
GACGAACGCUGGCGGCGUGCUUAACACAUGCAAGUCGAACGGAAAGGCCCUGCUUGCCGGGUACUCGAGUGGCGAACGGGUGAGUAACACGUGGGUGAUCUGCCCUGCACUUCGGGAUAAGCCUGGGAAACUGGGUUUAAUACCGGAUAGGAGCCAUUUUUAGUGUGAUGGUUGGAAAGUUUUUUCGGUGUAGGAUGAGCUCGCGGCCUAUCAGCUUGUUGGUGGGGUAAUGGCCUACCAAGGCGGCGACGGGUAGCCGGCCUGAGAGGGUGGACGGCCACAUUGGGACUGAGAUACGGCCCAGACUCCUACGGGAGGCAGCAGUGGGGAAUAUUGCACAAUGGGCGCAAGCCUGAUGCAGCGACGCCGCGUGGGGGAUGACGGCCUUCGGGUUGGAAACUCCUUUCGCUAGGGACGAAGCUUUUUGUGACGGUACCUAGAUAAGAAGCACCGGCUAACUACGUG